rnacentral:lncRNA from 10 species
CCACAACUUCUCUUCAAAAAGCACCAAUAAUACCCACUGGCAUAAACCUUGAAAUGAAUUUACUGUAUGAAUAGACAUAUAACAAGUAGAACAAUAGGGUGGGUUUUUUUAAAGACUGCAAUUGAAGAUAACAGGACUGAAAAUAUCCUUUAACUCAUGUAACUGAGUAAAACAUGUUGAAAAAAUUCAGAAAAAAGUUUCACAAUCAAUUUAUAAUCUAUCAAUAUAUUCUAAAUAUAACUUAAAAAGUGAAACUAUAAAAAGGUAAAGUUUAGUCAAACUUUUGCCCCAUCUAUUUUCAUUCUGUAAUUUAUAUGGAGCAACAUAGACUACUCCAUUAUUGUAGAAAGGGGUCGAUACAAAGCCAUUUAAAAAUCCACCCUCAUCUAUGUUACCAAAGACAGCAGCCGUUAUUUUAAUAAAACACUCAUACAAAUAAUUGUUAAACAGCCAAAGAACACUUCAGGAAUCUCACUUUUCAACUCUGUUUAAACCAUACAUAUAAAACUCUUCAUUCAGCUUAACAUUUCACUGUGGUUACCUGAAAUCAUUUCCUCCCUUUAGGGACACCACUAUAACCACUAUAACAGGGUCAGCGCCAAGUUUUCUCUCUUCUUGUUCUCAUACCUAACUCCUAUCUGAAAACCAAACCCUGUGAGAGAGACAGAAAAAAAAAUGUCCAGAAAUUCUCUCCAAAAUUUUUUUCACAUAAAAGGUCAUUAAGGCCCUCUUCUCAAGAGGAUUUCCUAAUUCUGUUACCAGAGUUUUUGGUGAUUGGUUCCUAUAUGGACCCAAACUAUAGUUCAAGCUGUAUAUGCAUAAUGAACAAUCUGCCUUAAAAAAGUGGAUUUACAUUUUUUAUUUUUAAAAAAGCAUUGUCAGUGAAAACCUGCUAAUAGUUUUUAAAUAAACCUAAACAAUGUCUGACUCUGAAAGCAAUAACCAAACACCUGACUCUUAUUACUGGACCUAAAAUGACCUGUAACUGAGUCAAGAAGGGCCAGAGUAUAUUUUACCUUCAAAAGGUGACAAAUGCUUAUAACCAGCCAGGCGAUGGACAUUUUAAGAUGUAAUCCUCAAAAGAAAAACUCUAUCCACUCUCAGUUGAGAGUCAAAGUACACCAGAAAUUUAAAACUUUGUGUGAAAAAUUAUUUAUAGGAAUCCCAACAAAAUACUUAACCAAAAAGUUAAGCAGAACUAUUGGCUAGGUAUUGCUUGCUUAAUUUUCCAUAAAAUUUGAAGCUGUGAUCUAAAAGUCUUAUCUUCACGUUUUUACCAAUAAUACUUAAUAGUCAUUAAAUGAUAUCCUGAAGUUUUCUUUCCAUUCAUUUUAACUGAGUUCCAGAAAAAUCAACUACAUUAAAAUAAUUAAAGAAGAAAGAUAGAAAAAAAUUGGUUGUUACAAAGAACAUUCAACGUUGGGAUUAUUAAAUCCUGGCUAAUGAGAAGUAGAACCGGUUUUAGACUUUUGCUUUCAUUUGAAUUCUUAAGGUUUAACUAGAUACUUUAUGGAUAUUAUGAACCUGCACAAAAGAAUGGGCAGUACAAAUAUGAGGUUCAUGUGGACUAUGGCACUCUGUAGGUAAUGACCAACUAAACAUAAUUAGUUUUUUAUAAUACAUACAUUUAGAAAUGGUAUCAAGCCAUUGUUUCAAAAACACUGAAGCACAAAUUGCCCAGACCUAACAAAAGCGGCAAUGUCAGGUAAAGAUUCAAACAAACAUGGAGCAAAAACACAGUACUCUUCUGUACGCUGUCACACUAACAAAAAACAAAAAACAAACAAAAAAAAAGAAAGUAAAAGAAAAGAAAUAAAACACACAUUUUGGAUGACAGUAAAAUUAGAUGUCAUGGACUUCACUCUCCAAAAGAGCAAAAUCAUUUGUCCAACUAUCUCAACAAAAGAUAUUCAAAAAUUAAUGGUUAGUGAGUUUAUUUAAACUGGAAAAAUGUAGCUGGCCACAAAUUAUACUAUGAGCCCACGUAUGUAGACUCCACACUUGCAUUAGUUUCUGAACAGGUGUCUACUCCAAACCAACCACAGCUUUUUGAAAGCAAGAAGCAUCAAAAGUCUUCAUUAUAGGAUUUCAGGUAUUUUCCCAAGAGGCACAAGGACCUUCAUGCUCAUAGCCUAGAACCUUCCUUCUCUCAAAAUGGCUAGUUUUUCCAGUUUAAAAACAAACAAACAAAAACCCCCACAAAACCUGCAAACUUAAAAAAUUAUAGAUGCAUAGUGAAAACCAAGAGGGAUGACACAGCAGUGAUGACACUUUUGUGCUGACAUGCAUUAGACACCUGUCAUAAUGGAAAAUAAAAAUUACAUGACAUUUCCCUGGGUUAUUAUUGGUGCUAUUUCAAAACUACCAGCUUUGAUAACAGAAAGAAAACAGUUGGGUUCUGCCAGGCUUCAAGUUAAGUCACUUUCAUAGAACAGAAACAUGACCAUGAUCCAGAAGGUCCAAAAGUCUCUAAUCAUAAUUAAAUAUCAAGGGCCUUAGCUGAAGUCUUCAGCACUUAAAUCAAGGGAGAAAAAUAUACUUACUAAUGACCUGACAAAUUAGGGGUGGGACAGAGGGGAUAGAUUAAAAAAAAAAAAUCCAUUACUGUUAAGCAGCAAAAGUCCUUGUUGAGAACCAGAGGUUGAUAUCAUCUCACCUUUGAAAAAAAAAAAACUGUGAGGCUAAGUUAAAUGAUCCUGUAUUAAUUCCGGGUGUCUGGGAAAAUAAAACAAUUAAAAAAGGUUUUCCUACACUGACAUUUCAAUUCCGUAGCUGGACAGCAGUGAGAAUAUUGAACAUAAAAUUUCCAAGAUGUUCAAAACAUUUUCAAUAAUGUAAUGUCACUACUGUUUAAAUAUGAAAAUAAAAAGACAAGCAAAAUUUUAAAAGAGCAUGUCAAAGGCAUUUUAUGAUGACUUUUUAAGAAAUUCUGCAAUCCAAAUAUGGCUGAUUUAAAUGCCCACUGAAAUAAAAGAUGACUAUGAGCCUGCAGACAACUCUUCUUUCUAUUAUUGAAACCAGAAAUUUGAAUUGAUACAAAAACAAAAACUCAUCUUUGAUGAAGAACACUUAGUUUCGAAAUAUGCACGAUUAGAACUGUACCUGCUACACCUCUCUGAAAAAGUCAGUAAAAACACCACCACACACCAAUAACUGACCAAAGAAUUCUGAUUUUAAAAGCACCUACUCACUUCUUGCAUACUAGUGUAAGCAUAAGACAUAUAUGGUUUGUAACAUAGUCCUUAAUUUUUACUGAACAGUUACUGCUACAAACCAAAAGUGCAUAUAUGGGAUACAGAACUCUAGAACAAAUGAUUUAAAAAAUGCAUGUUAAAGCAAACUCUCUGGGAAUAAACUGUAUCUUAAGAAAUACUCAAAUACCUGAUUAAAAUAAUUACAUUGCUAUACAAUUUACCAGCAUAUCUUUGAGAUCCCUGAUCAAAUUUCAGUCACACACAUUUCUGGUAAAAGAAUUAUUUACCUACACACCAAUCGAGUCAUUUUUAGGUGGCUAUUACUCUCUUUAUAUGGUCAGUGGACUCCUUUCUCCAAAUUCUGACUUUUCAAAAUUUUGGUUUUGUAACUCUGAGGAUUUUUUAAGCUCAAGAUUAAAAAAAAAACAACUGAAUAGAGAAAAAAAAUUACUCAUAAGGGUGGGAAGGCAUGAAGGACCCCGGUGUUUUCCUUGUCUUUGUUGCCCCCCACAGGGA